rnacentral:rRNA from 1 species
AUUGAACGCUAGCGGCAGGCCUUACACAUGCAAGUCGAACGGAGCGGCGGACGGGUGAGUAAUGCAUAGGAAUCUGCCUGGUAGCGGGGGAUAACGACCCGAAAGGGGCGCUAAUACCGCAUACUAUCGGAGCGGCCGAUGUCGGAUUAGCUAGUUGGGGGGGUAAAGGCCAACCAAGGCGACGAUCCGGAACUGGUUUGAGAGGAUGACCAGGCACACUGGAACUGAGACACGGUCCAGACUCCUACGGGAGGCAGCAGUGGGGAAUAUUGGACAAUGGGCGAAACCCUGAUCCAGCCAUGCCGCGUGUGUGAAGAAGGCCUUCGGAUUGUAAAGCACUUUAAGUUGGGAGGCGUUACCAGCAGAAUAAGCACCGGCUAACUACGUGCCAGCAGCCGCGGUAAUUC